rnacentral:rRNA from 1 species
UACGUAGGGGGCAAGCGUUGUCCGGAUUUAUUGGGCGUAAAGGAGCGUGUAGGCGGCCAGGUAGGUCCGUUGUGAAAACUCGAGGCCUCAACCUCGAGACGUCGGCGGAAACCCUCUGGCUAGAGUCCGGAAGAGGAGAGUGGAAUUCCUGGUGUAGCGGUGAAAUGCGCAGAUAUCAGGAAGAACACCCGUGGCGAAGGCGGCUCUCUGGGACGGUACUGACGCUGAGACGCGAAAGCGUGGGGAGCAAACAGG